GACAGAGGUGGCAAGCGUUGUUCGGAUUUAUUGGGUGUAAAGGGUCCGUAGGUCGUUUUGUAAGUCUGGUGUGAAAGCCCAUGGCUCAACCAUGGAACUGCACUGGAAACUGCAAGACUUGAGUAUCGGAGAGGUGUAGGGAAUUCUCGGUGUAAGGGUGAAAUCUGUAGAUAUCGAGAGGAACACCAGUGGCGAAGGCGCUACACUGGCCGAUUACUGACACUGAGGGACGAAAGCAAGGGGAGCAAACAGGAUUAGAAACCCUAGUAGU
rnacentral:rRNA from 1 species